AUUGAACGCUGGCGGCAGGCCUAACACAUGCAAGUCGAGCGGAUGGAGGGGGCUUGCUCCUGGAUUCCGCGGCGGGCGGGUGAGUAAUGCAUAGGAAUCUGCCUGGUCGUGGGGGAUGACGUCCGGAAACGGGCGCGGAUACCGCAUCCGUCCAGAGGUUGAAAGUGGGGGAUCUUCGGACCUCACGCGAUCAGAUGAGCCUAGGUCGGAUUAGCUAGUUGGUGGGGUAAAGGCCUACCAAGGCGACGAUCCGUAACUGGUCUGAGAGGAUGAUCAGUCACACUGGAACUGAGACACGGUCCAGACUCCUACGGGAGGCAGCAGUGGGGAAUAUUGCACAAUGGGCGAAAGCCUGAUCCAGCCACGCCGCGUGUGUGAAGAAGGUCUUCGGAUUGUAAAGCACUUUUAGUUGGGAGGAAGGGCAGUAAGUUAAUACCUUGCUGUCUUGACGGUACCAACAGAAUAAGCACCGGCUAACUACGUG
rnacentral:rRNA from 1 species